rnacentral:rRNA from 1 species
UGAGGAAUAUUGGUCAAUGGGCGCAAGCCUGAACCAGCCAUGCCGCGUGCAGGAAGAAUGCCCUAUGGGUUGUAAACUGCUUUUAUCAGGGAAUAAACCUAUUUACGUGUAGAUAGCUGAAGGUACCUGAUGAAUAAGCACCGGCUAACUCCGUGCCAGCAGCCGCGGUAAUACGGAGGGUGCAAGCGUUAUCCGGAAUCAUUGGGUUUAAAGGGUCCGCAGGCGGAAAUAUAAGUCAGUGGUGAAAUCUCAUAGCUUAACUAUGAAACUGCCAUUGAUACUGUAUUUCUUGAAUUCGGUCGAAGUGGGCGGAAUAUGACAUGUAGCGGUGAAAUGCAUAGAUAUGUCAUAGAACACCGAUAGCGAAGGCAGCUCACUAGGCCUGGAUUGACGCUCAGGGACGAAAGCGUGGGGAGCAAACAGG